rfam:Marinobacter sp. T13-3 scaffold_26, whole genome shotgun sequence.
CGCGUCUUGACGGGGUGCUGGCUGUCUUUACUGGCAGCUGGCUGAGAUUGCACUGCAGAACCCGCAACCUGAUCCGGAUAAUACCGGCGUAGGGAUUAAGACCAGAUGAACA